rnacentral:rRNA from 1 species
UUAAAUUGAAGAGUUUGAUCAUGGCUCAGAUUGAACGCUGGCGGCAGGCCUAACACAUGCAAGUCGAACGGUAACAGGAAACAGCUUGCUGUUUCGCUGACGAGUGGCGGACGGGUGAGUAAUGUCUGGGAAACUGCCUGAUGGAGGGGAUAACUACUGGAAACGGUAGCUAAUACCGCAUAACGUCGCAAGACCAAAGAGGGGGACCUUCGGGCCUCUUGCCAUCGAUGUGCCCAGAUGGGAUUAGCUUGUUGGUGGGGUAACGGCUCACCAAGGCGACGAUCCCUAGCUGGUCUGAGAGGAUGACCAGCCACACUGGAACUGAGACACGGUCCAGACUCCUACGGGAGGCAGCAGUGGGGAAUAUUGCACAAUGGGCGCAAGCCUGAUGCAGCCAUGCCGCGUGUAUGAAGAAGGCCUUCGGGUUGUAAAGUACUUUCAGCGGGGAGGAAGGGAGUAAAGUUAAUACCUUUGCUCAUUGACGUUACCCGCAGAAGAAGCACCGGCUAACUCCGUGCCAGCAGCCGCGGUAAUACGGAGGGUGCAAGCGUUAAUCGGAAUUACUGGGCGUAAAGCGCACGCAGGCGGUUUGUUAAGUCAGAUGUGAAAUCCCCGGCUCAACCUGGGAACUGCAUCUGAUACUGGCAAGCUUGAGUCUCGUAGAGGGGGUAGAAUUCCAGGUGUAGCGGUGAAAUGCGUAGAGAUCUGGAGGAAUACCGGUGGCGAAGGCGGCCCCCUGGACGAAGACUGACGCUCAGGUGCGAAAGCGUGGGGAGCAAACAGGAUUAGAUACCCUGGUAGUCCACGCCGUAAACGAUGUCGACUUGGAGGUUGUGCCCUUGAGGCGUGGCUUCCGGAGCUAACGCGUUAAGUCGACCGCCUGGGGAGUACGGCCGCAAGGUUAAAACUCAAAUGAAUUGACGGGGGCCCGCACAAGCGGUGGAGCAUGUGGUUUAAUUCGAUGCAACGCGAAGAACCUUACCUGGUCUUGACAUCCACAGAACUUUCCAGAGAUGGAUUGGUGCCUUCGGGAACUGUGAGACAGGUGCUGCAUGGCUGUCGUCAGCUCGUGUUGUGAAAUGUUGGGUUAAGUCCCGCAACGAGCGCAACCCUUAUCCUUUGUUGCCAGCGGUCCGGCCGGGAACUCAAAGGAGACUGCCAGUGAUAAACUGGAGGAAGGUGGGGAUGACGUCAAGUCAUCAUGGCCCUUACGACCAGGGCUACACACGUGCUACAAUGGCGCAUACAAAGAGGAAGCGACCUCGCGAGAGCAAGCGGACCUCAUAAAGUGCGUCGUAGUCCGGAUUGGAGUCUGCAACUCGACUCCAUGAAGUCGGAAUCGCUAGUAAUCGUGGAUCAGAAUGCCACGGUGAAUACGUUCCCGGGCCUUGUACACACCGCCCGUCACACCAUGGGAGUGGGUUGCAAAAGAAGUAGGUAGCUUAACCUUCGGGAGGGCGCUUACCACUUUGUGAUUCAUGACUGGGGUGAAGUCGUAACAAGGUAACCGUAGGGGAACCUGCGGUUGGAUCACCUCCUUACCUUAAAGAAGC